rnacentral:rRNA from 1 species
AUUGAACGCUGGCGGCAUGCCUUACACAUGCAAGUCGAACGGUAACGCGGGGGCAACCCUGGCGACGAGUGGCGAACGGGUGAGUAAUACAUCGGAACAUGUCCAGUAGCGGGGGAUAACCUGUCGAAAGAUAGGCUAAUACCGCAUACGAUCUACGGAUGAAAGCGGGGGACCGCAAGGCCUCGCACUAUUGGAGUGGCCGAUGUCGGAUUAGCGAGUUGGUGGGGUAAAAGCUCACCAAGGCGACGAUCCGUAGCUGGUCUGAGAGGACGAUCAGCCACACUGGAACUGAGACACGGUCCAGACUCCUACGGGAGGCAGCAGCGGGGAAUUUUGGACAAUGGGCGCAAGCCUGAUCCAGCCAUGCCGCGUGAGUGAAGAAGGCCUUCGGGUUGUAAAGCUCUUUCGGUGAAGACGAAACGGUUAGCGUUAAUAGCGCUGACUAAUGACGGUACUCACAGAAGAAGCACCGGCUAACUACGUGCCAGCAGCCGCAGUAA